UAGAGGAAGUAAAAGUCGUAACAAGGUCUCCGUUGGUGAACCAGCGGAGGGAUCAUUACUGAGUUUACGCUCUACAACCCUUUGUGAACAUACCUACAACUGUUGCUUCGGCGGGUAGGGUCUCCGCGACCCUCCCGGCCUCCCGCCUCCGGGCGGGUCGGCGCCCGCCGGAGGAUAACCAAACUCUGAUUUAACGACGUUUCUUCUGAGUGGUACAAGCAAAUAAUCAAAACUUUUAACAACGGAUCUCUUGGUUCUGGCAUCGAUGAAGAACGCAGCGAAAUGCGAUAAGUAAUGUGAAUUGCAGAAUUCAGUGAAUCAUCGAAUCUUUGAACGCACAUUGCGCCCGCCAGCAUUCUGGCGGGCAUGCCUGUUCGAGCGUCAUUUCAACCCUCAAGCUCUGCUUGGUGUUGGGGCCCUACAGCCGAUGUAGGCCCUCAAAGGUAGUGGCGGACCCUCCCGGAGCCUCCUUUGCGUAGUAACUUUACGUCUCGCACUGGGAUCCGGAGGGACUCUUGCCGUAAAACCCCCCAAUUUUCCAAAGGUUGACCUCGGAUCAGGUAGGAAUACCCGCUGAACUUAAGCAUAUCAAUA
rnacentral:rRNA from 1 species